rnacentral:rRNA from 1 species
GGUUAAGUGACUAAGCGUACAGGGCGGAUGCCUUGGCAAUCAGAGGCGAUGAAGGACGUGCUAAUCUGCGAAAAGCUUGGAUGAGUCGAUAAGAGGCGUUUAAUCCAAGAUAUCCGAAUGGGGAAACCCAGUAGAUGAAGAAUCUACUAUCAAUAAAUGAAUACAUAGUUUAUUGAGGCGAACCGGGAGAACUGAAACAUCUAAGUACCCCGAGGAAAAGAAAUCAACCGAGAUUCUGUGAGUAGCGGCGAGCGAAAGCGGAAGAGCCAGUAAGUUUUAGCUAGCGUAUUAGAGGAAUUGGCUGGGAAGCCAAAUCAAAGAGGGUGAUAAUCCCGUACUCGAAAGUAUGGUAGUGGAACUAAGCUUACGAUAAGUAAGGCGGGACACGAGAAAUCCUGUUUGAAGAUGGGGGGACCAUCCUCCAAGGCUAAAUACUCCUGAUUGACCGAUAGUGAACCAGUACUGUGAAGGAAAGGCGAAAAGAACCCCGGUGAGGGGAGUGAAAUAGAACCUGAAACCCUGUACGUACAAGCAGUAGGAGCGAGGGCAACCUUGUGACUGCGUACCUUUUGUAUAAUGGGUCAGCGACUUAUAUUUUGUAGCGAGGUUAACUGAAUAAGGGAGCCGAAGGGAAACCGAGUCUUAACUGGGCGUUGAGUUGCAAGGUAUAGACCCGAAACCCGGUGAUCUAGCCAUGGGCAGGUUGAAGGUUGGGUAACACUAACUGGAGGACCGAACCGACUAAUGUUGAAAAAUUAGCGGAUGACUUGUGGCUGGGGGUGAAAGGCCAAUCAAACCGGGAGAUAGCUGGUUCUCCCCGAAAUCUAUUUAGGUAGAGCCUUGAGCGGACACCUUCGGGGGUAGAGCACUGUUUCGGCUAGGGGUCCAUCCCGGAUUACCAACCCGAUGCAAACUGCGAAUACCGAAGAGUGAUACUCAGGAGACACACGGCGGGUGCUAACGUUCGUCGUGGAGAGGGAAACAACCCAGACCGCCAGCUAAGGUCCCGAAGUCUAUAUUAAGUGGGAAACGAAGUGGGAAGGCUUAGACAGCUAGGAUGUUGGCUUAGAAGCAGCCAUCAUUUAAAGAAAGCGUAAUAGCUCACUAGUCGAGUCGGCCUGCGCGGAAGAUGUAACGGGGCUCAAAUAUAGCACCGAAGCUGCGGCAUCAGAAUUUAUUCUGUUGGGUAGGGGAGCGUUGUGUAAGCGGAUGAAGGUGGCUCGAGAGGGUUGCUGGACGUAUCACAAGUGCGAAUGCUGACAUAAGUAACGAUAAAACGAGUGAAAAACUCGUUCGCCGGAAGACCAAGGGUUCCUGUCCAACGUUAAUCGGGGCAGGGUGAGUCGGCCCCUAAGGCGAGGCUGAAAAGCGUAGUCGAUGGGAAACGGGUUAAUAUUCCCGUACUUGGUAAAGCUGCGAUGUGGGGACGGAGAAGGUUAGGUAAGCGGACUGUUGGAUAUGUUCGUUUAAGCAGGUAGUUGGAAAGGGUAGGCAAAUCCGCUCUUUCAUACAACAACGAGACGUGAUGACGAGGCUCUACGGAGCUGAAGUUACCGAUACCCAGCUUCCAGGAAAAGCCACUAAGCGAAAGGCUUUACUAAACCGUACUGAAAACCGACACAGGUGGUCAGGUAGAGAAUACUCAGGCGCUUGAGAGAACUCGGGUGAAGGAACUAGGCAAAAUAGCACCGUAACUUCGGGAGAAGGUGCGCUUACAGUAAUUGUAGUCCCUUGCGGAUGAAGGUGAAGUAAGUCGAAGAUACCAGCUGGCUGCAACUGUUUAUUAAAAACACAGCACUCUGCAAACACGAAAGUGGACGUAUAGGGUGUGAUGCCUGCCCGGUGCUGGAAGGUUAAUUGAUGGUGUUAUCGAAAGAGAAGCUCCUGAUCGAAGCCCCAGUAAACGGCGGCCGUAACUAUAACGGUCCUAAGGUAGCGAAAUUCCUUGUCGGGUAAGUUCCGACCUGCACGAAUGGCAUAAUGAUGGCCAGGCUGUCUCCACCCGAGACUCAGUGAAAUUGAAAUCGCCGUGAAGAUGCGGUGUACCCGCGGCUAGACGGAAAGACCCCGUGAACCUUUACUAUAGCUUGACACUGAACAUUGAAUUUUGAUGUGUAGGAUAGGUGGGAGCCUUUGAAGCAGUGACGCCAGUCAUUGUGGAGGCGACCUUGAAAUACCACCCUUUAACGUUUGAUGUUCUAACGAAGUGCCUGAAACGGGUACUCGGACAGUGUCUGGUGGGUAGUUUGACUGGGGCGGUCUCCUCCCAAAGCGUAACGGAGGAGCACGAAGGUUUGCUAAUGACGGUCGGACAUCGUCAGGUUAGUGCAAUGGUAUAAGCAAGCUUAACUGCGAGACAGACAAGUCGAGCAGGUGCGAAAGCAGGUCAUAGUGAUCCGGUGGUUCUGAAUGGAAGGGCCAUCGCUCAACGGAUAAAAGGUACUCCGGGGAUAACAGGCUGAUACCGCCCAAGAGUUCAUAUCGACGGCGGUGUUUGGCACCUCGAUGUCGGCUCAUCACAUCCUGGGGCUGAAGUAGGUCCCAAGGGUAUGGCUGUUCGCCAUUUAAAGUGGUACGCGAGCUGGGUUUAGAACGUCGUGAGACAGUUCGGUCCCUAUCUGCCGUGGGCGUUGGAUGAUUGAUUGGGGCUGCUCCUAGUACGAGAGGACCGGAGUGGACGCAUCACUGGUGUUCCAGUUGUCUCGCCAGAGGCAUUGCUGGGUAGCUAAAUGCGGAAGAGAUAAGUGCUGAAAGCAUCUAAGCACGAAACUUGCCAAGAGAUGAGUCAUCCCUGACUUUAAGUCAGUAAGGGUUGUUGUAGACGACGACGUAGAUAGGUUGGGUGUGUAAGUGUAGUGAUACAUUGAGCUAACCAAUACUAAUUGCCCGAGAGGCUUAACCAU